GAAAGCAAUGAAUAGUCAAGAGUAGGGAAAUUUGAGAUAGAAAUUUAUUGGAAGAAAAAUAUAAAAAGAGAUAAAUAUUUUUUUUAAAAUAUCAGGCCUCAUAAGUAGUAUUUAUAAGAGACAAUCUAUUGCCAAUUAGAUUAAUAAUCAGUUUUAAGGGAAUGUGGACUAAUUAUCAGUGAUUUCAGUCACUUCUAUAUAGAAACUAAAGUUAAUAAACAUUUGUAGAUAACUGAAUACUAAGGGAAUUUUCUCAAUUUCCUUAACAUUAUUUAUCUGCUUUUUCAAGCCAUUUUGGAUAGAAACGAUAGAAAACAGGAAGCCUGUAAAAUUUUGCAGAUCUGGCUCCUGGGUUAAGAACAAAGAGGCAGCAUCUUCUGAGUCCAAGAUGCAAAUAUAGCCCCUCUGAUUGUACCAAUGUUGUUCCCAUGAAUAUAUUUCCUAUGCUAAUUCUGUAUGAGUAAUCUGCCAAAAGUCAUUCAUAUACAUUUAGUUCAUUUUGUUCUGCAAUCUCUCUUUGAUUGCAAAUUUUCACCUGCCUCUUUUAGGCUUUCAAAAAGCAGGAGGAUCACUAUCUUGAUCUGUGUUCUUAGAUGUAGGGCCCCUCUUUCCUCUUUACAUGUGAUUGAAUAAAUGAAUAAAUGGAUGGAUCAAGGAUUUUUUAAAGCUCUUACUAUAUGUCAAGAACAAUGCAAAUGGCAAGGGAUAUAAAUACCAAAAUCAACAGUGAUUUCCUUAGGAAGUCACAGUGAUAGUGAAUAGAGACUUUGGAUAAUUGAAUUAUAUCCUUUUCAGGAAUUAACAUUUUCAGGGAAAGAAGGGAGAAAAAUAGAAGAUGUAUCACAUGGUAUGGAUUUGGACUGAGAAUAUGUAAUGGAGUCUAGCGCCACAUGGAUAUGGUAAACUAUUGCCAAUCAGGCAGAAUGGAGGGUAAAGAUGUAGCUCUGGGCAUAGAUUAAUUUGAACUUCUCUGAGACAGCUCUGCCUGGGAGGGAAGUGAUGUUUCUCUUCACUUGUUCCCUCCUUCUCAGUUACCCGUCAAACUUUGGUUGCUGAUCCCCCGCUAGUACACUGGGCACAUGCUAGGGAGGUAACAUUCAUAUGAGGAUGGAAUGACAAGCCUUCAGAGAGGAUAACAGAAUAGCAGGAAGGAAAGCUUUACCUCUAAAAUAUUUGCUUACAAACAACUCUGGAGGUAGCCCUAGAAUUUAUUUCUUAGAAAAUUCUUUCUGCUUCCUUGCACACUUUCCACUUGAGCUUUGCCAUCAUUUGGUGAUAUUGGUCAGUGACCAAUUUUCUGUUUGUAUUUUCAUUUCCCCCAAUGGAAAACUUGCAGACUUAAAUAUUUGGGGGAGGAAAGGUCAGUAAACUACAAUGAACAAAGCUCCAUAGCAGAAUCAGAGCCAAAUCACCAAGAAAACAACAACAACAACAACAAACCAAAACAUAUUGUUUGUGAUUUGAAAUCAAAUAAAAUUUUUAAGAAUUUUUAUGAAUACUGAUUAUUAAUUUAUUAUACUUAAAAGUGAUAUUCAUUGAUAAGUAGCCCAAUGUCACUUCUAAUGUAAUAAAAAUGAGAUAAGUUGUAAAAUGCAAUUUCAUUUUGGAUAAAAUUGUUUGACAAUCAUGCAAACUUAAUCAUGAAUUUAAAGAACUGAGGUUGUCUUAUGCAGAUGAUGACUAUUAUAGUGCUUGGCACCUGAAUCACUUAAUAUUUGUUGAUUAAAUUGCUAAAUUCAGUUCAGUGGUAGACUGGAUAGAGUAUUACCACUGCCAUCAAAAAGAAUUGUGUUCAGAUCCAGACUCAGGCACUUACUAGAUAUGUCUUUCUUUGUAAGGCACCCAACCUGUGACCAUUUCAGUUUUCUAAUGUGUAAAAUGGGGAUAACAAUAUAACAUCCAUUUGUUCUGAGGAUCAAAUGAGAUUACAUUUCCAAAAGGUUUUGCAAAAAGUUGUAAAAAUUAAAAGUGCUAUCUAGUUGCUUGCUAUUUCUACUAUUAUUAUUAAAUUGCUUUUUAAAAUAAUAGACACACAUAGAGGACACUGAAGGUUUAAUCAUAGACGAAGACAAACAUCCUGGAAAAUUUCUCUUUGGUAUGUCUUCUAGAUCCCAUCCAGGUGUCUCUUUUCACUACCCCAACAAUGUCUUAUCUGCACCAAAUGGCUAUCAUUUCCACUAUAAUACUCUUCCUAAAAAUUUAGGAAAACUUUGCAUUCCUCAUCAAACUGUAUUUGUUCUGAGUUCUUUUCCCACAUUAGCCUACCAAUUCUAACACCUGUUUCAGGAGUUACAUUCCAGAGACCCCUGCAAUAAGUAAAAAAUCAAGAAGUAGCGGCAUUAUAUUUAUUUUAUAAUUUAUAUAUAUGUAUAUAUAUAUACAUAUAUAUAUAUUAAGGUUUUAUAAACCUUACCACUCUCCUAUAAACCUUUUCCACACUCUUAUUAGCCUAUAGUCACUGAGCCAAUCAGCACCCAGGAUACAGAGCAGAGCACUGGGGAUAGGUUUGUCACCCUUCAUUCCAUCAGCCAAUAGUGUGCUGUGAUAAGUGUAACUCCACAAUAUAGAAUUAGAUAUAUAUUUUUUAAAAAACCCGUGAAACAGUGAAGUCUCAAUAAAUGAACCCCAAUAUAGAGAGGGAUGACUGUAUAAUAAAUAUUUAAUGAUUUGUAUUGUCCUAACAUGUUACUUAAUCAGAGAAUAUUUUAAUUUUAAAACUUUGCAAAUAAUUUUCUGAUGGUAGAAUUUCAUACAUUAAUAUGAAUGAAUAAGAAAUGAGAUGAAGAUAGGGAGGAGACAGAAGUAUCUCUCUUUAUUUUCUGUAAAGUCCCAAUAUCUAUAUUAUCAACUCUUCUUACUUGUAAAACUGACUCUGGUAACAUAUUACUUAUUGUUUGUAAUAUAUUUAUUUUUCUUUUAUAGUUUUAUUGGAAAUCUUCAAAGCUACACAUUAGGUUACAGGUCAAAAAACUAUUCAUUACAAUUUGUGACAAUUUUUUUCCAGGAGAAUCAUUUAAACCAAAGGUAAUAUUCUUGACUCCAGUACAAUUUCAGAUUAUAGUACCUUCUCUCCUCAAUUAUGGUAAAAAAAGAUGGUUUAUAUUCAGGAAUAUUCAGACUCCUUACUGUUACUGUCCCCAAAGUUUAUUUUUGCUUAUCCAUGACUUGUGUGCCUGAUGUCAAUAGAAUACCAUAAUGAAAGAUCAACUACUUUAGGGGAGUUACCUUUUGAUGAAUCUUUGCUAUGCCCCUUCUUAUGGAAGGAAGACUAGAAGUGGAUCAGUGAUUUCACUGAUAUAGGGGAUAUGAAGGGAAGGAAACCUCUAAAAAUAAAAAUGGACUAUUUCUUUACAAUUAUAAUCUUUAAGAGUUACCUAGAACAAUGAAAGUUUUAAAAGAAAACUUUGUCAAAGGACAGUAAGGUAAUAAAAAUUAAAUGUAGAACUGAAAUAAAUUCAAUCUUUUUGUCUUUGAGGUCAUCUGUCUGCCCUUUCUGUCCUACUGUGUCUUAAGCUUACAAUUUAAAGUUAAAAUUCAAUUGGCAAACUGUAUAUAUGUAUAUAGUGUUAAUUAAUAUUUCUAUAGCUGUAGAGUUGAAAGAGAUCCUGGAGGGAAAUUAUUCCAAUCAUUAUAUUGAUUCAUUUAGGGGUACUUUAAGAACAUUGGACAGUGUCAGGUUAGACAUGGAUUCAAAUCUUAAAUUCAAUAUUUGGCUAUUUAACUAUGGGAAAAUAACAUCUUUUCUCUGAGCUAUUAUUCCUUCAUUUGAAAAUUCAGGCUAAUCUUAUUGCAGAAACCAACCAUCAGGAUCCCAGUGAGACUUAAAAUAGGUGAAGCAAUAUGGCGUUAAAGACAAUCAAGAAUGUAAAAGAAAAUAAAAGUCCUGUUAAAAAGAUCAAGAAAUAUAUGGCGAUGGAUUCCUAGCAAUGGACACUAAAAAGAAGCAAAAUGGACAAGAAGAGAACCAAUAGAGAAUCCUGUCAGAGAAGGCAAAGGAAAUUGAGGAACUACAGCAGCUGAUAAAGAAGUAGCUACUAUGGCAAUGGAAAGGAUGUGAAAUAGAGAUUGUGAUCUCUAUACAUGGAGGGAGUAUUAAUAGUGAUGAAUGAAAUCAUGUAUCCUUUCAGUCUAUCAAAGCAAUGCAACAAAUGAGGAUGCUUAAAUUAACCAAUCAAAGGCAGGCUGGAACCAGUUUAUAUCAGCUUGCAAGAGCUGACACAAAUUUUUACUGUCAAGAUUUACACCUCAAAUUUCAGCAACUACUACAUAGCUUGAUUUAUUAUUGUGAUGUUUGUCAAGAUUAAGAAAGUAACAGAGAAAAUAUUAAUAAUGCAUAUUAAACUUAAAUGUGUUGUCUACUUUUUUUUUUUCAGAAAGCUGAUGGCUAAAUAUUUACCAGCACUUUUGCUGAAUUUAACCUUCACAUGUAUAAAUAAGCCUUUAUACAAUGUUUAGUUUAUGAAAGGAACCUAUGCUUCCCAAAACCUGUAAUAACAAAUUUAAAAAUGACUGCUUUCCUCCAUUAGUUCUUCCAUUUCUUUCAUUGGCUUGGAGUUAGAAAGAACCUUAGAAAGGAUCUAGUCUAGGGCUUCUUAACAUGCGUUUGAUAGAAUUUCAUAAUGCUUCUUUUAAAAAUUUUGAUGACUUUAUUUCAACAUAUUUUCUCAAUAAUCUUAUGCAUUUUAUGCACUUAACCCCCUACGCUUUUUUUCCUGGAAGGAGUGCAUAGGUUUUACACAGCAUCCCAAGAGCUCCAUGACAGAAAAGAGGUUUAGUAUUCCUGAUCUAAUCAAACCAAGUAAAAUGUAAGUUCCCUAAAUUCAGGACUGAUUCACUUCUGUCUUUAUUGUUUUAAGUAUAUAUAAGUAUACUUGUUAUUCGGUGGUCAUUAAUAAGCGACUAUUGAGUUGAAUUUACUUAAACUUAAGUGAAACUUUAUUAAAACAAGGACAUCUCUGAGAUAAGAAAUCAUUCAACAUGUCUAAAUUUCCAAAUGGUACUAUGGGGGGAAUCUUUCAAGAUAGCCCACUUCUGUAUAGAUCUAAAAAUUCAGUAGUUUUCCCUUAUUAACCCUAAAUUUGGCUUUUUGUAAUUUCCUCCCGUUGGUCUGAUUCCUAACCACUGGAAAUGAAGCAGAACAAAUGUUAGGCUCUUGUCCACGUGACAGAUCCUGAGAUAUUUGUCUCCGGGUAUCAUAAGAUCCUUGGCAUUUUGGCUUUCCAAGUAUACCUACUUCCUUAGAAUGGUCUUUAUAGGACAUGAUCUGAAGGUUAUUCACUGUUCUGAUGCUUACUUUGUUCUUUUCCAUUUUAUAUAUAUUCUGCUUAAAAUAUGGCAUGUAGAAAUGAAUUAUAUUCUGUGUGUACUCUGAUGAAAAAAUGAGUAAAACAGGUACUAUACUUCACUACUUUUUAGCUAUUCAACAUAAAAUCAUAGUAGUUCCUGUAGCUGCCUAAUUAUACUAUUAACAUAUUGAUCUCGUAGGUCAUUAAAAUCCAAAUCUUGGACAAAGGUUAUAAGUAGUCAGUAUUCAGGAGAAGAAAUCAAAGCUGACUGAAGUCAUUAAAAAUUCUCCAAAUCACUAUUGAUCAAAGACAAAUUAAAAUAAAUUUGAGGUUAUUACCUCACACCCACCAGAAAAGACAAAUGCUAGAAGGUCUGAGGGAAAAUACUCACAUUAAUGAAAUGUUGCUGGACUAGUGAACUGGUUUAAGAAUUUUGGAAAACAAUCUGGAAAAAAAUUCUGUGAAUCUUCUCAUUCAGUAAUACCCUCACUAUGUUUGUACCUCCAAAGAAAUAAAAGGAUAAGGAAAAGGUCACUUAGGUCCACAAUAAUUUAAUAAUUGUGGUGGCAAAAGUUGGAAAUUAAGAGAAUGCUCAGUUGGGGAAUGGAAAAAGUUGUGGCAUAUGAUUGUGAUAAAGUACUUUUGUAUUAUGAGAAAUUAUAAGUGAGAAAAAAGGUACAGGAGUAAGAAAGAGGAAGGAAUAAGGAAGGGAAGUAGAAUAAUUCGGUGAUUUUUGAUUCAGACAUGUUAGCUCAUUGUGAUCACCACUUUACUAAAUAUUCAAUAAUUAUGUUUUUAAUAAAUCAGUCUAUAUUUCUUCUAAGAAUAAAAGUCAAGGUCAGUGUUCAAUUAUUUUAUAUUCUAUUAUUUUCUUUUAAAAAUGGCUUUGCAACAAUACUCACUUGCUUUCUCUUUCUACCCUUAAGACCCCUUUCUUCUAGGAGAACUGGUGAGCUCUUCCGAGAAACUCCUUGGAGAGGACAAGCUCCUCCUUUAUUCUCAAGUUUUUUUUAAGAGCCUAGACCCACUUAUUUUUUUAUUUGUAUUUGAAUCCCUAGUAUUUAUCACAGUGCAUGGAGUAUAGUAAGUACUUUAUAAAUGCUUGUUGAUUUGGUAUUUCCUUGUCCUUUCCUAUAAUACUGCCCUUAUUCUACACUGUUUCAGAGUUUGAGUCUAGUAACUUGAACUAAGUACCAUCCAAUAAUGUAAAAUUGCUCUAUAUAUUUCAUAUGUCACCGCACCAUUGGAAUUUGGCAGUUAUUAUUCUCUCUCUAGUACAAACUAUUCUCAUUAACAGAGUACAUAAAAGAACAUAAGUUUGGGGUAGUAGGAAAUUAUCAUUAUUUCAUCCAUCCCAGGUAGUGAUCCUGUACCUUUAAGGACAUUCUCUUUUUCUUCUGUAUAUUGCAGUUUUAAAACAUUUUGUUCUCCUUGGCUUUACCUGCUCUCUUCAGUUUAUUUUGAAUUUUAGCAAUCCACACAUCCUUUUUUACAAGAUUGCUUUGCUUUAUGAUACUCCAAAACCGUUUAGCUAAAGAAGAAAUCAUAGAAACAAUUAAUAAUUUCAUCAAGGAAAAUGACAAUGGCGAAACAUCCUUUCAAACCUUUUGGGAUGCAGCCAAAGCGGUAAUCAGAGGCAAAUUCAUAUCCCUGAAAGCUCAUAUUAACAAACAAGGGAGAGCAGAGAUCAAUCAAUUGGAAAUGCAAUUGAAAAAACUCGAAAGCGACCAAAUUAAAAACCCCCAGCAGAAAACCAAAUUAGAAAUCCUAAAAAUUAAGGGAGAAAUUAAUAAAAUCGAAAGUGAUAGAACUAUUGAUUUAAUAAAUAAGACAAGAAGCUGGUACUUUGAAAAAACAAACAAAAUAGACAAAGUACUGGUCAAUCUAAUUAAAAAAAGGAAGGAAGAAAAGCAAAUUCACAGCAUUAAAGAUGAAAAGAGGGACAGCACCUCCAAUGAGGAGGAAAUUAAGGCAAUCAUUAGAAAUUACUUUGCCCAAUUAUAUGGCAAUAAAUACACCAAUUUAGGAGAAAUGGAUGAAUAUAUACAAAAAUACAAACUGCCUAGACUAACAGAAGAGGAAAUAGAAUUCUUAAAUAAUCCCAUAUCAGAAAUUGAAAUCCAUCAAGCCAUCAAAGAACUUCCUAAGAAAAAAUCCCCAGGGCCUGAUGGAUUCACCUGUGAAUUCUAUCAAACAUUCAGAGAACAGUUAACCCCAAUACUAUACAAACUAUUUGACAUAAUAAGCAAAGAGGGAGUUCUACCAAACUCCUUUUACGACACAAACAUGGUACUGAUUCCAAAACCAGGCAGGUCAAAAACAGAGAAAGAAAACUAUAGACCAAUCUCCCUAAUGAA